rnacentral:rRNA from 1 species
UACGGAGGGGGCUAGCGUUGUUCGGAAUUACUGGGCGUAAAGCGCACGUAGGCGGACCAUUAAGUCGGGGGUGAAAGCCCAGGGCUCAACCCUGGAAUUGCCUUCGAUACUGGCGGUCUUGAGAGUGAGAGAGGUGAGUGGAAUUCCUAGUGUAGAGGUGAAAUUCGUAGAUAUUAGGAAGAACACCAGUGGCGAAGGCGGCUCACUGGCUCAUUUCUGACGAUGAGGUGCGAAAGCGUGGGGAGCAAACAGG